GAAGGAAGAGGAUGAACAGCCAGCAUUGAUUGAUUUGGUUUUCUCUUGGUCCAUAGCUGAUAUAAUUAACAAAGAUCUUUACAGGGACAAGGUGAAUCCAAUUCCAGACACAUUCUCAUCAUCAGAUAAUUAUUUGGAGUCAUUUGUGAAUCCGCUUCUCGAA